rnacentral:siRNA from 1 species
GAGCAAAAUACGUCAUCUGUUUGA